rnacentral:lncRNA from 10 species
UUGAACAGCUGCUCUGCAAGCUCCCACCCUGUGGAGUGUACUUUGAUCUUCAAUAAAUCUUUGCUUUCAUUGCUUCAUUCUUUCAUUGCUUUGCUGUGCAUUCUGUCCAAUUCUUUGUUCAAAAUGCCAAGAACCUGGACAAUUUGCAGUCAAGACCCUCCACCGGGAUAUGAACUUCCAAUUAUAUCAUUGGACUUGACUACUCCAUUUCUUUCCACAUUUAAAAAUCGAUCAGGGAGAAGCUAUUUUGAGAACUUAACACAGUAUUUAACAUGGGAUUUCUGAAUGAAGACAGUUUAUGGAUGAAUAAGGAGGUGCGUGAUCUGGAUGGCUGAAGUUGCUGAUUUCACUCUCUCACCAAGUGAGUGGUUGGAGCAAGACAGUGUCUCGAGAUUGAAACAGAACACGAUGGAGCUGGAAGUUAUAGUUCUGAGAUCAUCAGGAAUCAGAGUCAAAUCAUUAACUAGUGAUUAUAUGCCACACAAGAAAUCCUCUCUGGGUUAGAAAUCUUAAAAUAAGAGGCUGUUAUAUACAUUUGUCGAGAUAAAAUUAUUGAUUAGUAUUUAUAAGACUUUGAUUUCAUA